GCGGGUGUAGUUCAAUGGUAGAAUGACAGCUUCCCAAGCUGUAAACGCGGGUUCGAUUCCCGUCACCCGCU
rnacentral:tRNA from 3 species